rnacentral:lncRNA from 10 species
AGGUUGCAGUGAGCUGAGAUCGCACCACUGCACUCCAGCCUGGGCGACAGAGUGAGACUCUGUCUCAAAACAAAACAAACGAUUAACCAGGUGUGGUGGCGCAUGCCUGUAAUCCCAGCUACUUGAGAGGCUGAGGCAGGAGAAUCGCUUCAACACAGGAGGCAGAGGUUGCAGUGAGCUGAGAUCGCACUACUGCACUCCAGCCUGGGCGACAGAGUGAGACUCUGUCUCAAAACAAAACAAACGAUUAACCAGGUGUGGUGGCGCAUGCCUGUAAUCCCAGCUACUUGAGAGGCUGAGGCAGGAGAAUCGCUUAAACCCGGGAGGCGGAGGGUGCGGUGAGCUGAGGUCGCACCACUGUCCUCCAGCCUGGGUGACAGAGUGAGACUCUGUCUCAAAAAAAAAAAAGUGAGAUGAAUACUUGGACAUUUUUAGCCCCAAAUUUACAGAGCAUGCACCCCAUUAACAGACACUCUACGGGGCAAAAGCUGAGGAAAUGCAGCAGGGAGAAGCCAAGAGCUCCCAAAGGGAAGGUUGGAAUUGAAAGAAGGGAUGAAGAGCAGGUCAGCGGUAAUGAGUGGGAAAACCUCGGCAGCUGACCACAUAAAUCAGUGAUAACAAUGUAUGUUCAAUUUAAAAAACAUAAAUCAGUGAAAACAACGUAUGUUCAAUUAAAAAAAAAAAGUCAAUACAACAGCCUGUCAGUGACAUGCUGACUGGAUGAGUGUGAGACGGUUUGUGAGUUGGAGGAAAAGAUACUGAUUAAUAUUGGGCUUUGAAAAAUUUAGUCGACGUUCCUUUUUUUUUUCUUUAUAGAGACGGGGUCUCGCUAUGUUGUGCUGGCUGGUCUUGAACUCCUGGCCUCCAGCGAUUCUCCUGCCUCAGCCUCCCAAGGCGCUGGGAUCACAGGUGUGAGGCCCCGUGCCCGGCCAGCCAUUGACAUUUGUAGGAUAAACAGUGAGCUAGUAGGAAGCGUGUACUCCAAACGAGAGAAAAGGCGACCAAGCUGAAAAAGAGCAGGAGACAGAGGUGCAGGAUGAGACGGUCACAGUCCAUCACACGGAUGAGCAGGCAACAUCGACCUCAAUGCACCGAGUGCUCUAGUUACAAGACAAAGGUCUGACUGCAGAAAGAAAACAGCAUUCACGUACAUGGGAGACACAGAGGACAGAAAGACAGGAGAUAUAUGUGACUUAAGGACCCAGAGGCUACACAUUUUUUUUUGAGAUGGAAAAAGAGCAGGCAGACAGUAGAGAAAGCUGGUGUCGCUGUAUUAACAUCCAUGAAGUGACACAAGGUGAUGGACAGACCUGGAGACAGACAGGCCACCAAGGAACGCUGAAGAGGUCAGUCAGGGGAAGACAGGCUGAUGCUAACUUUAUCCAUGCCUGACAACGCAGCCUCGGCACUGAUCAAGUAAACACCACUGGACACAAACUGAGCCCGCUAGGCAAGGCGGAGCCCACCCACCCCGGGCACAGACACAGGGAAGGCCGGGACCACCC